CCUACGGGCGGCAGCAGUAGGGAAUCUUCCACAAUGGGCGCAAGCCUGAUGGAGCAACACCGCGUGAAGGAAGAAGGCUUUCGGGUUGUAAACUUCUUUUAAGGGGGAAGAGCAGAAGACGGUACCCCUUGAAUAAGCCACGGCUAACUACGUGCCAGCAGCCGCGGUAAUACGUAGGUGGCAAGCGUUGUCCGGAUUUACUGGGUGUAAAGGGCGUGCAGCCGGAGAGACAAGUCAGAUGUGAAAUCCACGGGCUCAACCCGUGAACUGCAUUUGAAACUGUUUCCCUUGAGUGUCGGAGAGGUAAUCGGAAUUCCUUGUGUAGCGGUGAAAUGCGUAGAUAUAAGGAAGAACACCAGUGGCGAAGGCGGAUUACUGGACGAUAACUGACGGUGAGGCGCGAAAGCGUGGGGAGCAAACAGGAUUAGAUACCCUAGUAGUC
rnacentral:rRNA from 1 species